GGCGCGGACGUGAAGUGGCUUCAUGGCGGAGUUUGUCGGGUUUUGUUUGUGGAGCGUGAGGAAAUGGCUGAAAUAAAAUGGGGCGAUGUCGGAGCGGUUUAAGGUGGAGAAAGUGAGAAAGUUGCUGCAUUUGAUUCUUGUGAAUGAAGUAGACCAGUGGAUCAAGUGUCGAUUUGUACCGUGUACUUAAGAUGGUGCCAUCAUGGGUGAC